AUGGAUAAACAAUUGUUUUGAUUAGUGAAGUAACAAUAAUUAGUACUCGUUUAGUGAAGUAACAAUAAUCAGCACCCGUAUUUUGAUACAAAUAUAUACAAUUUGGCAUGGACUUGAGGGUAUGUUCACUAUACAUGUCUUGUAUCUGUAUUAAGUCCUUCAAAAUUCCCUUCUUUGCUGCAGGAAUGGUGCCUUUUCUUUUCUUAUCCAUAACUAUGGGAUUCGUGGAGACAAGUCUCUCUUAAUUUAUUGGUUUGAAGGCACUCGUGAAAGUUUAAGAAGGAUCAUUCAACAUUGUCGAGGCUGGAAAGAGGCACCUCUUGUUGGUUGAGAGUGAGUUGUGAAUUCUGGUGAUAAGGCGAAUGAUCUUUAAUCUAAGAUAUGGGGAAUAUAGAUCUGGAUAGAGCUGUUAUCGUUCUCAAAUACCUUCUUGGCCAUUACAGCGGCACCUGAUUCCCAUCUUGGGUAGCUCCUGCUUGAACUUUUUAAUUUACUUCGAAAUUUUCUGAAGCAUUUGACCAUUGAGUCUUUUAUAGUGAUAUCACUUUCUUUAGUCUCUUGGCCAUUGGUUAACGAUAACUAACAUGUCCUUUGAGAAGUUUUUAUUGAAUUACUUAUUUGACCAUUGAUCACCUUACAGAGUCAGACCCUUUUUAGAUAUUCAAAUGAAAGUGAAUUUUGGAAGGUCUACAUUCAG